rnacentral:rRNA from 1 species
CCUACGGGUGGCUGCAGUGGGGAAUAUUGGACAAUGGGCGAAAGCCUGAUCCAGCCAUGCCGCGUGUGUGAAGAAGGCCUUCGGGUUGUAAAGCACUUUCAGUGGGGAAGAAAGCCUUGGGGCUAAUACCCUCGAGGAAGGACAUCACCCACAGAAGAAGCACCGGCUAACUCCGUGCCAGCAGCCGCGGUAAUACGGAGGGUGCGAGCGUUAAUCGGAAUUACUGGGCGUAAAGCGCGCGUAGGCGGUCUGAUAAGCCGGUUGUGAAAGCCCCGGGCUCAACCUGGGAACGGCAUCCGGAACUGUCAGGCUAGAGUGCAGGGGAGGAAGGUAGAAUUCCCGGUGUAGCGGUGAAAUGCGUAGAGAUCGGGAGGAAUACCAGUGGCGAAGGCGGCCUUCUGGACUGACACUGACGCUGAGGUGCGAAAGCGUGGGUAGCAAACAGGAUUAGAUACCCCAGUAGUC